rnacentral:rRNA from 1 species
GCUAAUACCGAAUAGUGCCCUUACAGGGGGAAAGAUUUAUCGCCUAUUAGAGCGGCCCAGCGUCUAGAUAUAGCUAGUUGGUAGUAGUAAUGGACUACCAAAGGCAGACGAUCAGUAGCUGGUCUNGAGAGGAUAGAUCAGCCACAUUAGGAGACUAGAGACACGGCCAAACUCCUACGGGAGGCAGCAACAGGGGAAUCUUGCGCAAUGGGCGAAAGCCUGACGCAGCAUGCCGGUGAAUGAUGAAGGUCUAUAGGAUUGUAAAAUUCUUUUCACCGGGGACGAUAAUGACGGUAACCCGGAGANGAAGCCCCG